rnacentral:lncRNA from 1 species
UGCCUUUGUCUGACGGGCCAGCCCGGCCUGGGGCAGUAGAAGACGCGUGUAUAAAAUGAGUGGGCUGCAUGAGGAACACAUGCCACUUGAAGAACGGGCCCUGUCAAGACAGCAGCAGGGAAAUACUUGCCAGUAUGAAGGUGGUCUGCGCUUUGACGCUGCUCUGCUGUCUGCUGCUGCUGUUGCCCACCGAAGGACAGGAGGUGGAUCGUAGAGAGCGCAGACAGAAGGCCCUGGAUGUGAUUAUCAAGGGACUUGAUAUCGCUGGCAGAGUCAUUGAUACAACGAAAGACACGCUGGGCGACUUUCAAGACAAGAGAAAGUAAGGGUAGGGCUGCAGCUGCGGCCACUGCAGCCCGAGGCCUCAGAGCUGCAGCUGGGAUCUUCCCAGCUGCUUAGCUGCCAGCUGCAGCCUGCAUUCCGACCAACGGCUGCAGCAGGUCAGCCGACGAGGAGACAACGCUUGCUAAUCGGCUCGUGAAAAUCGUAUCACGUUCGCAGAUCUGUGAGGAGAACAUCCGGACUGUGGUCGGUACAUAAUUCAUCUGGAAGCAAAAUGCUGCAGUAGUAAAAGUGGUGCUGGGAAGGUUUUUUCUUAUCUUUGCUUGAAGCCAUGAAAAUAACGCUAGAUUUUUAGUUGACAUCUGGCUAUAAACUAAAGUAAAUCUAUGAUUGAAUGGGCUAUACCCGUGCAGUGUAUGUAUGUAGCUAACGCUUGUGAAAAUAAACUUAUUUCGACCUCAA